rnacentral:rRNA from 1 species
UUGGAGGGCAAGUCUGGUGCCAGCAGCCGCGGUAAUUCCAGCUCCAAUAGCGUAUAUUAAACUUGUUGCAGUUAAAAAGCUCGUAGUUGAAUUUGAGCUUGCGCGUUUCCGUUUUGUGAGUAUUGCGCUUGCUUUUUUGUUACUUUGAGAAAAUUAGAGUGUUUCAAGCAGACUUUUGUCUUGAAUACUUCAGCAUGGAAUAAUAGAGUAGGACCUUGGUUCUAUUUUGUUGGUUUUUGAGCCUUGGUAAUGGUUAAUAGGAACGGUUGGGGGCAUUCGUAUUUAACUGUCAGAGGUGAAAUUCUUAGAUUUGUUAAAGACGAACUAGUGCGAAAGCAUUUGCCAAGGACGUUUUCAUUAAUCAAGAACGAAAGUUAGGGGAUCGAAGACGAUCAGAUACCGU